CAGACUAGCCUUCCACAGCUACGUAGUCUUAAAUGACUUCAUAUUGAUUAAACUCAGAAGUAAGCUGAAACCAAUUCAUUUCUAGUGGUACCUAUUUGAGCUUCCUUUUGUUAGAAUGUUUUAAAAGCCAAAGACGUUGGUGGGCCCUGAAUGAGCUGCAUGGAGCAUCCAGGUGAGCUCGUGCAGAUACACCCAGGAUGCCUGUUCCCUGCCGAGUCUUCAGAGCAUAACUGAGAAGACACCCUGACCUUUGGCUGCAUCCAUUUGUUUAAUAAAACCCAAAGUAUUCAGUUUAGACUUAAUUAACUUCUAGAUUAUUUUGGUUGGGAAUUUAAUGUGCUUGAAAAAUUAGUCAUAUCCUAAACUAUCUUCACACAGAAAACUUAGGUUUAUCAUAUGCCUGUAUUCCUGAAGAAUAAAUGUGGUUCAUUGGUAAUCUCCCUGUCCAUCAACAGCAUACAGCUCAUCAUUCAUAAGACAGACACAUGGACAGGCAUACAGCCUGCCCUCUGACCUCCACACAUGCUGUGGCACGCAUAAUGAAAUUACCUUUUUGUUUCCUAUUCGCUAGAAAUUAACCACAUUCUACACUGGCUCUUAGUAGGUGUCUGUAUAACAUUUAAACAUUGAGUUAGUAUUUUAACAUUUACUAGGUCUACAGCUUGGAUUGUAACCUUGGAGGAAGAACUGUUGGACUAGAUCAUUGUAUUAUUUGAGGCGUAACAUAGAAAAUGUUGGCUGGGGACUAAAACUGAUUAGAGUAGUGUCAUAUUAUCACACAUAGGCCUAAUCCAACCUCACCCCUGAUAGAAAGUAAAAUCCCUACUGAAUUGGUCACAUUUGUUCAUUUGUGUGUUGUUUAUGGCUGGUUUCAUGCUACAUUAAGACCUGGUAGUGACAGUUAUGUGGUACAUGGAGGAUUUGGAGUUCUAUGUCAGCCUGAGCUGCAAUAGAAAUUGUAGUUCAGAAACUGUGACACUAAGAAAGUCUCACCAGGCUCAGGGAUGUAGCUCAGUUGCUAAGAGUAUUUAUUUAGCAUGUUUCGAGCCCUGGGUUUGGUACCUAAACCAGGCGUGGUGGUACAAGCACUUGGGAAGUAGAGACAGGAAGAUCAGAAGUUCAAAGUCAUUCUUUAUAGUGAAUUUGAAGCCACACUGGAUUACAUAAGACCUUGUCUCAAAAAAUAAAGUUAGGUUUCACUAACGUAGAGACUUGCCAGGUGGUAAAACAAGAUUGUGUUGCUCAUAGAUGGACAAAGCUUAGAGGUUACUUAGGUAAUUACCUUGCUAGCUAUCAUAUAGACUGACCCCUGCCCUUUCCAGGUGACUUCUAAAACUUUAUAUGAACUGAGUCAUGUCUCAUUUUAUUUAUUUAUCAUCUCUCAAGCUAGAUGUGGUGGUGCAGGCAUUUAAUCCCAGCACUGGGAGGCAGAGACAGGAAGAUCUCUGAGUUAAAAACUAGCCUGGUCUACAGAAAAAUUCUCAACAACCAGUGUUUUACAGGGAAACUGUCUCAAAAAGACGAAUAAUAGUCGUUACUAAUAGAUUCAGUCAGUUGGAAUGGCUGCCCUCUUCUGACACAGAAAGCAGAGUACCUCAACAGUGGGGACUGAAUGCACCACAGCUAAACCGGACCUCUGAGUUCAUAUAGAAGCAAAGAUGUGCACUGAGAAACCUGGAGGGAUGACUGCUGAGCAGCCAUGUUGGGUUGGUGGCACCUGAAGAUGGCAGCCAAGGAAGAUGAAGUGCAAAGAUGGAAGAAUGUGUCCCAUGGACAGUAUAGUGAAGAUGCCAUAUAAACCAGACUACAUUACCAUUUUAAGAGAAUUCUUUCUUACUUAAACUGUUACCAUUUCAGCAUUUGUUGCGUGCAUCAAUUCUAAUCCUGAUGCCCAUGUAAUAAUGUCUCCUAAAAUAAUGCCUUUAGUAUUUUCCUUACCUUUUGCCCCCUCAGGAGCAGCCACAUCCAAAGUACCUAACAUGCCAAUGACUUUUUGUCUAUGUUUCCAGGUCUAAUCUCUCAUCUAAAAAACUGUACAUUAAGCUGCAUGUUAGACACCUCUGAUACACCCAUACACAUUGUGAUGUGCUUAAAUGAGAGUAACAGAAUAUGUACAUAUCCUGAUCCGAAGCCUUCAAAAUUACAUUGUAGGGCAAAAGAGACUAUAUGAAUAUGAUCAAAUUAAAGAUCUUGACGGUGGGACUUUACCCUGGUUUAUUCAUUUGGUCCUCAUAUAAUGAUAAAGAUAUUUACACAUGAAACAGGAGUCAGAGUUGGAAAGAGCAAUAUGAUACAGAAAGCAAAGGUUGAAAUGAUGUGGCCACAAGCUGAGGUAUGCCCUGUAGACCAUUCUGGCUUUGAACUCAGAGAUCCACCUGCCUCUGCCUCCCAAGUGCUGGGAUUAAAGGUGUGGGCCACCGCCACUAAGCUCAAAAAAAAA